GUAGUAUUCCCUCCGUCCCAAAAUUCUUGUCUUACAUUUGUUUAGAUACGGAUGUAUCUAACACUAAAAUGUAACUAGAUACAUUCGUAUUUAGACAAAUUUAAGACAAGAAUUUUGGGACGGAUGGAGUACAAA
rnacentral:pre_miRNA from 1 species